AAUUGAUAAAUCUGUUCGGCUAAAAAUGUCAAACGCUAUCAGUAUUAAUUACCCGAAAAAGAUAGGGUAUAUCAGGGUAGGACUGAUGGCUGACUAAAUAAUAGAAUGGGGCUGAAUAUUGAAAUACUACUUUUUGAUAAAUAUUCCUAAAGUAAUGAACUAGAGCAGUUCUCGCUCGGACACACACUCCAUAAUCUAGUAUAUUAUAAGAGCAUAAACCUGAAGCACGGAGAGGCACUCUACUGCCUCCACACGGCACUAAAGACAAACUCUGUAAAAAAUAAAAUUGAGAAUAGAAAUGGGGAAUGUGCCAAAGAGACAACAACCCGACCAUAGAAAAAACAACAGCAGAAGGUCACCAACAGGUCUUCAAUGUAGCGAGA
rnacentral:lncRNA from 1 species